AAAGCCUUAGCUUAAUUAAAGUACCUGAUUUGCAUUCAGUAGAUGUGAGUUAAAGCCUCGCAGGUUUUA
rnacentral:tRNA from 1 species